rnacentral:tRNA from 1 species
GGCUGUAUAGCUCAAUGGUAGAGAGCCUGCCUAGCAUGCCUGAGGCCCUGGGUUCAAUUCCCAGUACAGCUA